rnacentral:rRNA from 1 species
GACGUAGGGGGCCAGCGUUGUUCGGAAUUACUGGGCGUAAAGAGCGUGUAGGCGGUUCGGUAAGUCGACUGUGAAAGUCCAGGGCUCAACCCUGGGAUGCCGGUCGAUACUGCCCGGACUAGAGUUCGGAAGAGGCGAGUGGAAUUCCCGGUGUAGCGGUGAAAUGCGCAGAUAUCGGGAGGAACACCUAUGGCGAAGGCAGCUCGCUGGGACGUUACUGACGCUGAGA